rnacentral:rRNA from 1 species
GAUGAACGCUGGCGGCGUGCCUAAUACAUGCAAGUCGAGCGAACAGACGAGGAGCUUGCUCCUCUGACGUUAGCGGCGGACGGGGGAGUAACACGUGGAUAACCUACCUAUAAGACGGGGAUAACUUCGGGAAACCGGAGCUAAUACCGGAUAAUAUAUUGAACCGCAUGGUUGAAUAGAGAAAGACGGUUUUGGUGUCAGUUAUAGCUGGAUCCGCGCCGCAUUAGCUGGUUGGUAAGGUAACGGCUUACCAAGGCAACGAUGCGUAGCCGACCUGAUAGAGUGAUAGCCGACCCUGGAGCUUGGACGCCGUCCAGACGCCUACGAGAGGCAGCAGUAGCGAAUCGUCCGCAGUGGGCGGAAACUUGACAGAGCAACGCCGCGCCAGUUAUAGAGGUCUUCGGAUCGGAAUACUCUGUUAUUGGGUAAGAACAGAUUUGUAAUGAACUAUGCCCUGCUUGACGGUACCGAGUCAAAAAGCACCGGCUAACUACGUG